AUAAUAAUUAAUAAAUAAUAAUAGUUUUUGUUUACAUUCACAAAUCCAAUAUCUACUACCACCGUUUGCAAGAAUGUUAUCAACCCAAGCUGGGGUUAGUUUGUUUAUUUUUCAUUCGUUUUUGGAGUAAUGUUUUGACUCCUUGGCUCUGAAAUUAAGCCACAAAAAAAAAAAGCUACCAUUCCAUAAAGAAACCUACUCCACAAUUCCACGGCUCGCAAUACUCCCACAAACACUGGGGCUCUCCUCCUACUGUGCUCUUGCUGCAGUGCAGACUGCUGCCACCUGCCCUCAAAGAAGAAAUAUUACAGUUCACGUUUGGAAGACAUCUCACCACACUAUGGAUUUAAUCCUGGUUAAGUAUGUUGCCUGUGGCACCCUUAAACACGUGAGUGGCUUAUCAAUUUUCCCCUACUCACCUUCCAUCAUUCCAUUAAUUAUUUCUUCUAAUUUAUAUCCCUCUCUCUUUUUUUGCAGUUGCAAUUUACUGACGUCAUGUCUCACAUGCAUGCCUAACAUUGGACCUGGAUGUGGAUGAGGAGGAAGCAAAUAGAAAAACACAUGAGGUUUUUUCAGCACUUCAUAGUUUUUUGACAUCGAAAUAAUUUCUUCUAUGCCAUUGUCAGUGUAUCACCUCCACACUUCCCAGAGCUACAAAUCUAAACUCAUGCUUUAUCUUGGCCCUGGUAUUUUGAUUCCAUUCUGACCACCAGGGAUCUGAAUGCUGCUCAGCUCCAUGCAAGAUAACAUAUUUAUCAGCAUAUGACACGCACAUUUAACUCCUGAAAAGCUUUCUGUUAAAGACGGAAGAAAGAGUGAAGAUAAUGUUGAAGAUAAAGUUCUUAAAGGGUCCCAGUAGGUUGCAGUUUGCGCAGUCCUCCUUGAUAUAUCAAUCCCCCUUCAAAUCACAGUGUCCCUUUCACAGUCACGUUCUAAAGGUAUGAGGUGUCAUUUUUGUACGAAUUUUUAAAUUGAACUUUUAGGUGUAUUACAUGAAAAUGCCUAUGUGUAAAUAGGGUACAUGAUGAUAAUGGAGUUAGUGCUGUGUCCUGUUUCUUCCCAGAUCAUGCACUUACCCUGAGGAGGAGCAAUGGUCCUGCCAGAAGCCGAUGCUGGAGGGUCUUGAAUGCAGCUUUCUGUUAAAGACGGAAGAAAGAGUGAAGAGUCAAGCUCUAUGAUUUUGACCCCUGCUGCUGAAUCCAGGGACAUCCUCUGCCAGAAGGACAUCUCUUAGCUCCGCCUCCCACUCUCGCAACUUGAUAGGCUUUCCUCGGUUUUGUCCUAGUCGAAGCCUCUGCAUCUUCUUUGUAACCGUUGCCCGACAAUCAUAGAACCUGCAAAUGUACAUAAACAUUACAAUUACAUUAAUAAAAAAACAAAUACUUAGAU